rnacentral:rRNA from 1 species
AGAGUUUGAUCCUGGUAGAUUGAACGCUGGCGGAAUGCUUUACACAUGCAAGUCGAACGGCAGCACGGGAGCUUGCUCCUGGUGGCGAGUGGCGAACGGGUGAGUAACACGUAGGCAACCUGCCUGUAAGACUGGGAUAACCCGUGGAAACAUGAGCUAAUACCAGAUAGAUGGAUAUCUCGCAUGGGAGAUUCAGGAAAGAGGGGGCAACCUCUCACUUACAGAUGGGCCUGCGGCGCAUUAGCUAGUUGGUGGGGUAGAGGCUCACCAAGGCGACGAUGCGUAGCCGACCUGAGAGGGUGAUCGGCCACACUGGGACUGAGACACGGCCCAGACUCCUACGGGAGGCAGCAGUAGGGAAUCUUCCGCAAUGGACGAAAGUCUGACGGAGCAACGCCGCGUGAGCGAAGAAGGUUUUCGGAUCGUAAAGCUCUGUUGCCAGGGAAGAAAACUUAGGAGAGUAACUGCUCUUAAGGUGACGGUACCUGAGAAGAAAGCCCCGGCUAACUACGUGCCAGCAGCCGCGGUAAUACGUAGGGGGCAAGCGUUGUCCGGAAUUAUUGGGCGUAAGCGCGCGCAGGCGGCCCAGUCAGUCUGAUGUAUAAGCCCGAGGCUCAACCUCGGUUCGCAUGAGAAACUGCUGAGCUAGAGUGCAGGAGAGGAAAGCGGAAUUCCACGUGUAGCGGUGAAAUGCGUAGAGAUGUGGAGGAACACCAGUGGCGAAGGCG